AACUUUCAACAACGGAUCUCUUGGCUCUCGCAUCGAUGAAGAACGCAGCGAAAUGCGAUAAGUAAUGUGAAUUGCAGAAUUCAGUGAAUCAUCGAAUCUUUGAACGCACCUUGCGCCCUUUGGUAUCCCGAAGGGUACACCCGUUUGAGUGUCAUUG
rnacentral:rRNA from 1 species